rnacentral:tRNA from 1 species
UUAAUUGAAACCAAACUAGAGGUUUAUCACUGUUAAUGAUAUAAAUGGGCCCUUUAAUGCCCCAAUUAAG